rnacentral:rRNA from 1 species
AGGAUGAACGCUGGCGGCGUGCCUAACACAUGCAAGUCGAACGUCCUGUCUCGCAAGAGGCAGGGAGUGGCGGACGGGUGAGUACCACGUGGGUCAUCUACCGUGAGGUGAGGAAUACCGGCGAGAAAUCGCCGACAAGACCGCAUAGCCUCGGUGCAAGUCGAGCAAAGCUCUUUCGAGAGAGGGAGCGCCACACGAGGAGCCUGCGCCCGAUUAGCUAGCUGGUGGAGUAACGGUUCACCAGGGCGACGAUCGGUAGCUGGUCUGAGAGGACGAUCAGCCACACUGGGAUUGAGAACGGCCCAGACUCCUACGGGGGGCAGCAGUGAGGAAUUUUCGUCAAUGGGGGCAACCCUGAACGAGCAACGCCGCGUGCAGGAAGAAGGUUUUCGGAUCGUAAACUGCUUUUCUCGGGGAAGAGAAUGGACGGUACCCGAGGAAUCAGCCCCGGCUAACUACGUGCCAGCAGCCGCGGU